rnacentral:misc_RNA from 1 species
GAUGACUCAAUGAACCCUUGGGCAACCCAAAGAUGAAUCAAUGUUUUCACAUCAAUUUUAUAACCUUUGGGAAACAAUGCACAAUAUGCAAAACAGUGUUUCAAAGGUGAUGAGAGAUGAUCAUAACUCAACUUGAGUGUUGGUAAAAUAUCAUUCUCAUUUUGAGCUACCUUUGAGAGUUCAUUUUCUAAGAAAGUUCCCCAUUCAUUUUCUGAAUAUUUAUAGCAUAAAAGACUUGCAAUUGUCU